rnacentral:rRNA from 1 species
GACGAACGCUGGCGGCGUGCUUAACACAUGCAAGUCGAACGAGAAGAGAUGAGAAGCUUGCUUCUUAUCAAUUCGAGUGGCAAACGGGUGAGUAACGCGUAAGCAACCUGCCCUUCAGAUGGGGACAACAGCUGGAAACGGCUGCUAAUACCGAAUACGUUCUCUUUAUCGCAUGGUAGAGGGAAGAAAGGGAGGCUCUUCGGAGCUUUCGCUGGAGGAGGGGCUUGCGUCUGAUUAGCUAGUUGGAGGGGUUAACGGGCCCGACCCAAGGCGACGAUCAGUAGCCGGUCUGAGAGGAUGAACGGCCACAUUGGGACUGAGACACGGCCCAGGACUCCUACGGGAGGCAGCAGUGGGGAAUCUUCCGCAAUGGACGAAGUCUGACGGAGCAACGCCGCGUGAACGAUGACGGCCUCGGUUGUAAGUUACUGUUAUACGGUACG